AAUUCCUCAUCCAUUGAUCAAGAUGAUUAAGACAUUCUUUUUUUGGGUAUGUCGUUACUUUUCUUAUCCACUAAUUUCAUUGGUUAUGAUAUUCUUUAUCCAUUGUUGUGGAUCCGUACCCCGACCUCGACUAAGGCAUCCUCGGGUCCGAUCGAGCUAAAGGAGAUGGACGUUCAAUGAGGAUGUAGAUGUGAGAAAGUCAGACACUCCAUCAGUAGCGAUUCUCGACUCUUCGACCUCGGAUGAUCUAUUUUAGAUCAUCCUCGACCGAUCUAUUUCAGAUCACCUGA
rnacentral:lncRNA from 1 species